rnacentral:lncRNA from 1 species
UCUGGAUGAAGGCAUUGAUGUUUCUGAUUUCCGCCUAGAAGACUGUCUGGACUCUGUAGAAGAUCUGGUCAGAUACAAAAGAGGCCUUUCUGAGAAGAAGAUAGCUGAGGAAGCAAGGAAGGCAAAGAAAGCCAGACUUGGAGAAACCUCUGGCACCAAAGCUUCAGCACCUCUGAAUGUCUCUUCUGGUAAGUCCCUUCCUCCUAUUACUUCUGUACCUGUAAUGGCUUCUUCUACUCCUCUCCCAACACCUCCCAUCUUUACAACCUCAGAAAUUCCUCCUUCAACCAUUAGAAC